CUGCAGCCAAUUAAGCCAACUGUGCUGCCUUCCCCAUGGCGCCUGGUGUGCAGUGGCUGCUCACAGCAGUCUCCUGGGUAGUGUAUGCGGCCUGAUGCUUGUACAGGCUGUCCUAAGGGACCUUGGAGACAGCC
rnacentral:snoRNA from 1 species